UACGUAGGGGGCGAGCGUUGUCCGGAUUUAUUGGGCGUAAAGAGCUCGUAGGCGGCUUGGCAAGUCGGAUGUGAAAUCUCCCGGCUCAACUGGGAGGGGUCAUUCGAUACUGGCGGGCUCGAGGCCGGUAGGGGGAAGUGGAAUUCCCGGUGUAGUGGUGGAAUGCGUAGAUAUCGGGAGGAACACCAGUGGCGAAGGCGGCUUCCUGGACCGGUUCUGACACUGAGGAGCGAAAGCGUGGGGAGCGAUCCGG
rnacentral:rRNA from 1 species